GGGAGGCAGCAGUGGGGAAUUUUGGACAAUGGGGGAAACCCUGAUCCAGCCAUCCCGCGUGUGCGAUGAAGGCCUUCGGGUUGUAAAGCACUUUUGGCAGGAAAGAAACGUCAUGGGUUAAUACCCCGUGAAACUGACGGUACCUGCAGAAUAAGCACCGGCUAACUACGUGCCAGCAGCCGCGGUAAUACGUAGGGUGCAAGCGUUAAUCGGAAUUACCGGGCGUAAAGCGUGCGCAGGCGGUUCGGAAAGAAAGAUGUGAAAUCCCAGAGCUUAACUUUGGAACUGCAUUUUUAACUACCGGGCUAGAGUGUGUCAGAGGGAGGUGGAAUUCCGCGUGUAGCAGUGAAAUGCGUAGAUAUGCGGAGGAACACCGAUGGCGAAGGCAGCCUCCUGGGAUAACACUGACGCUCAUGCACGAAAGCGUGGGGAGCAAACAGGAUUAGAUACCCUGGUAGUCCGCGCCGUAAACGAUGUCAACUAGCCGUUGGGGGAAUUUGUCCCUUAGUGGCGCAGCUAACGCGGUAAGUUGACCGCCUGGGGAGUACGGUCGCAAGAUUAAAACUCAAAUGAAUUGACGG
rnacentral:rRNA from 1 species